AGGAUGAACGCGUGGCGGCGUGCUUAACACAUGCAAGUCGAACGAACCUUCGGGUUAGUGGCGGACGGGUGAGUAACGCGUGGGAAUCUGCCCUCAGGAGGGGGAUAACGACUGGAAACGGCCGCUAAUACCCCAUAUGCCGAGAGGUGAAAUGAAUUUCGCCUGAGGAUGAGCCCGCGUCUGAUUAGCUAGUUGGUGAGGUAAGAGCUCACCAAGGCAUCGAUCAGUAGCCGGUCUGAGAGGAUGAUCAGCCACACUGGGACUGAGACACGGCCCAGACUCCUACGGGAGGCAGCAGUGGGGAAUUUUUCGCAAUGGGCGAAAGCCUGACGGAGCAACGCCGCGUGAGGGAUGAAGGCCUCUGGGCUGUAAACCUCUUUUCUCAAGGAAGAAGAUCUGACGGUACUUGAGGAAUAAGCCACGGCUAAUUCCGUGCCAGCAGCCGCGGUAAUACGGGAGUGGCAAGCGUUAUCCGGAAUUAUUGGGCGUAAAGCGUCCGCAGGCGGCCUUUCAAGUCUGCUGUUAAAACGUGGAGCCUCACUCCAUCAUGGCAGUGGAAACUGUUGGGCUUGAGUGUGGUAGGAGCAGAGGGAAUUCCCGGUGUAGCGGUGAAAUGCGUAGAUAUCGGGAAGAACACCAGUGGCGAAGGCGCUCUGCUGGGCCAUAACUGACGCUCAUGGACGAAAGCCAGGGGAGCGAAAGGGAUUAGAUACCCCUGUAGUCCUGGCCGUAAACGAUGAACACUAGGUGUCGGGGGAAUCGACCCCCUCGGUGUCGUAGCCAACGCGUUAAGUGUUCCGCCUGGGGAGUACGCACGCAAGUGUGAAACUCAAAGGAAUUGACGGGGGCCCGCACAAGCGGUGGAGUAUGUGGUUUAAUUCGAUGCAACGCGAAGAACCUUACCAGGGUUUGACAUCCUGCGAAUCUCUUGGAAACGAGAGAGUGCCCUCGGGAACGCAGUGACAGGUGGUGCAUGGCUGUCGUCAGCUCGUGUCGUGAGAUGUUGGGUUAAGUCCCGCAACGAGCGCAACCCACGUCUUUAGUUGCCAGCAUUUAGUUGGGCACUUUAGAGAGACCGCCGGUGAUAAACCGGAGGAAGGUGUGGAUGACGUCAAGUCAUCAUGCCCCUUACAUCCUGGGCUACACACGUACUACAAUGCUACGGACAAAGAGCAGCAAGUUCGCGAGGACAAGCAAAUCUCAUAAAUCGUGGCUCAGUUCAGAUCGUAGGCUGCAACUCGCCUACGUGAAGGAGGAAUCGCUAGUAAUCGCAGGUCAGCAUACUGCGGUGAAUACGUUCCCGGGCCUUGUACACACCGCCCGUCACACCAUGGAAGUUGGCCACGCCCGAAGCCGUUACUCCAACCCUUGUGGAGGAGGACGUCGAAGGUGGGGCUGAUGACUGGGGUGAA
rnacentral:rRNA from 1 species